AUGCAAGUCAAGGGGGCCCGCAAGGGCAACCGGCGAACGGGUGCGUAACACGUGAGCAAGCUUCCGAUUUGUGGGGGAUAGCCGGCCCAACGGCCGGGUAAUACCGCAUACGUUCAUUAGACGGCAUCGUCUGAUGAGGAAACCUCCGGGGCAAAUCGAGGCGCUCGCGGCCUAUCAGCUAGUUGGCGAGGUAACGGCUCACCAAGGCGACGACGGGUAGCUGGUCUGAGAGGAUGGCCAGCCACAUUGGGACUGCGACACGGCCCAGACUCCUACGGGAGGCAGCAGUGGGGAAUAUUGCGCAAUGGACGAAAGUCUGACGCAGCGACGCCGCGUGUGGGAUGAGGCCUUUCGGGGUGUAAACCACUGUUGCCCGGGACGAACAUCCUUUUUCGAGAGGACUGACGGUACCGGGUGAGGAAGCACCGGCUAACUCUGUGCCAGCAGCCGCGGUAAUACAGAGGGUGCGAGCGUUGUCCGGAAUCACUGGGCGUAAAGGGUGCGUAGGUGGCUUGGUAAGCGUGUGGUGAAAGUCCGGGGCUCAACCCCGGAUCUGCCGUGCGAACUGCGAGGCUUGAGCAAUGUAGAGGCAGGUGGAAUUUCGGGUGUAGCGGUGGAAUGCGUAGAGAUCUGAAAGAACACCAGUGGCGAAGGCGGCCUGCUGGGCAUUUGCUGACACUGAGGCACGACAGCGUGUGGAGCAAACAGGAUUAGAUACCCUG
rnacentral:rRNA from 1 species